UACAAACAUGCUGGCUGGAAGCCGGCAGCUGGAGGGUGGAGAGGUCGGAGUCUCCAAAGUCUCGGCCUGAUUAAAACUCCCAGCACAGCCACUCACUCCCUCUGGAUUGAUUAACCUGACCUGUAUCGGAUCAACCCCUCGGGACAAGAGCACAGCCCACUUUCCUGAAGUGGAUGAGCACGGCGUGGGAUGGGAGAGAGUCAGAACGGUGUAUGGGGGAAAGUAGGACCGUGCAGAAAGCGGAGAGAGACCAGACCAGACUUGCAGGUCCCAGGUGAGCAACGUGACCAUUGGGUUGGCAAAUGGCCUGUUAUUGUUGGUCAUGCUACGAGAGAGAGUUUGGUGUUUGGAACCCACAGCUUUCUGCCCUGACAGUGCCCCUCUCCUCCACCACAUUAGCUGGGGCUGUUCCCAGCGACUGCUUUGAUGGAGCAGCUUGAGUCCUGCUUUUGGCUCUGCGGGCCUGCUUUGAGUGCCUCUGACUCACAGCAGUGUGGUUCUGGAGCGGCCCUUCGCUCUGGCGGUGAGGCCGGCUGGAGGAGCCGGGGAGAGGGGCGCUGUCACAGACCUCUCACCCCACUGCACGCUGGGCAUCGGGGCUCAGCGCGCAUCGGCCCACUAUGACUUGCCUGUCAAUGUGAAAUAGCAUUUGCAUCUAUUUACCUACUUUCUCAGAAAAAUGGGAUAGUCAAAUAUUUACAUUUAAUAAUUUAGCAGACGCUUUUAUCCAAAGCGACUUGCAAAUGAGGCAAACAAUAGAAGCACUCACAUCAGUGAAAGGGCAAUAAUGCGCAGAUAUAUAGAAAAGUGUGACCUAAUAUUUACCUUAAUAUACAAUUUUAAUAAUCUAUAUAAUAACAUCUUAUUUUAUUACCAACUUAUUUGUUGUUGUGUAUAGUGAUUUGUAUAUUUCAUGUCACUACUUGGUUUGGUUGUAUAAUGCUUUUGAAAUAUUGUAACUAGUGAACACUCAUGCCGAUAAAAUACAUUUCAACUCAAAUUAAAGAUUGGAAAAAUGUGCAUCAUUGCAUAUGCAGACCAGGAACGUGCUAUUAUUAUUAUUAUAUUAAUAAAGUAAACAUGGUCAACUUCUGUUGGCUUCCAACAACCAAGGACUGCGAAUAACUGGAUACAAAAUGUGUUAAUUACACAAAUGAAUCAGUGAAGGAGGAGGAGGGGGAAGAAAGAAGUGACAUUUACUGAAGAGAGGGAGAGACGUGUGGUGAAGUGGAGAGAAGAUAGAGAGACAGAAAGAAAGACACACACACACACACACACACACACACACACACACACACACACACACACACACACACACACAGAGACAGCGAGAGAGAGAGAGAGAGAGAGAGAGAGAGAGAGAGAGAGAGAGAGAGAGAGAGAGAGAGAGAGACAGAACUGAGGCAGGGCGGGUGGAACGUUGGACUUCUGCUGUCAGUUGUGCUGUACUGCAUUUUUCUUUUGCAAACACAAACCUUUGUGUGCUCCUUUUUUCCUCUUUCUUACGGCUACACUCCAGUACCUUCUGCAAACGCUCAGUCAUAUCGGUUAACAAUGCCAAAGCUCCCACAGAAGGGGGGCCUGAGGCCCAAAGACGGGUAAAUACGCAAAAGGUGCCUUACGUAAGACUGAAGGAGACAACAAACUCUUUUCACAGGGCGGUUGUUAAGCUUAACAUUACACAGAUUUUCAUUUGGGUUAUAAUGAACUGUUUUUUAGGUAAUCAAGUGGACAAGAACAGUAAUUCAUUAUGUAACUUUGGUAAUAACACAAAUGAACAUGUCAGAGAAUAAUAAUGAUAACAAUAAUAAAUUAUUAUAAAUUAAAAAAAGAA